rnacentral:rRNA from 1 species
UACGUAGGGGGCGAGCGUUGUCCGGAUUUAUUGGGCGUAAAGAGCUCGUAGGCGGUUCGGUAAGUCGGAUGUGAAAUCUCCACGCUCAACGUGGAGGGGCCAUUCGAUACUGCCGUGACUCGAGUCCGGUAGGGGAGUGUGGAAUUCCCGGUGUAGCGGUGAAAUGCGCAGAGAUCGGGAGGAACACCCGUAGCAAAGGCGGCACUCUGGGCCGGUACUGACGCUGAGGAGCGAAAGCGUGGGGAGCAAACAGG